rnacentral:lncRNA from 1 species
CCAAGAUUUUCCAAAUCAAGAAGUUUCUCCAGGCUUCUCAUUUUGUUUAUUUUCUGUCUGACUACAUCAGACUAUGACCUACCUGGUAUAUAUAUCUAUGAUCCGUUUUAUACACAAAUACAGAAACACACACUGUAUGUUGGGAAGUUAGUAAGAAAAUUCACUUGUAAAGUCCUAUUUUGAACUGUUGAUUUAAAUGUGUUUUGAAUUUCUCAGAUGAUGAAAGGCCUUGUCCUAUUCACAGUAUCUCGUAAUGUAUUUGGAAGCUUGCAUGGACUAGUAAACCCAAAUUAGUAGUCAUCCAAACAUGAAUACACUAGAGAAGCAUCCUGAGAUGAAAACGGAGGAGGUUAUCAUCAGACAAUCCCAGUUAGAAAUGACCACUGUUGGGAUGGUUGGCAUGGAGAAGGAGACAGGCUGGCUAGACUCUUUCAAGCGAAGCCAAGUUGAUGGAGAAAUAGGCAGGAUUUUUUCCUAUAAUAAAUGGAAAAGCGGGGAGGUAAAUAUGAAGACCCCAAAAUAAUUAGGACUAUUCAGAAGAUCAAUAAAUGCAUGUCUCCAACAAGUUACAAAUCAUGAACUGAUGUUCUAACAGGACCUGGAGGAAUCAAAAGCUUCAUUUCAUUGUUCUAAAGCUCCAAAGUGCUAGAAACAGAGAUCAAUUUUUAUGCCUAGAGACUUUUGACUCAACUAAAAAAUUUAGGUACGUUAACCAGCUUAGGUCUCAUAGACAGCCAAGGUUAGAUUAGGCAGUGGUAAUUAGCUGGCAUUGUUAAGGGCUAAAAGUAGCAUGUUGUACCUAAGUAUUUUUUUUUUUUAAUUUAUAUCUUGCUGUAAGGUGCAUUCUUCCUUUUAUACAAGUUAGCAAUGAGUGGCGCCAUGGUGACAGCUACCUGAACUGCAGGGGUAGUCCUUGGGAAAUAAAUAAUAUCUGAAGGAUUAUUUUUAAAACCGAAAUUCACAAAAUUGGACACAACUAUCACCUAGCUAUUUGGAACUUUCUGACUGAAUUAAACCCUUUGAUCCUGCAUGUCAGGGCAUGAAACUUCCAUUUUAUUUAUACAUAAUUAUGAGAAAUCGGUCAUCAAAAGUCUCUUUGAGCCAAUCUGUUUCUUUUGCAGUCUCACAUUACCAAAAUUUUUGGAGUGGAACUCCAAAUCGUCUUCCUUUAAAAAAAAUUUGCUGAUUAUAUAAGCAAUAAAUUCUCAUUAAAAUUUUGAAUCAUCGGUUAAAUUAGAGAUUAUUUGAUUUAAUAAUCCCCCAAUAUCUACUUUAGGCCCCCUUACACAUUUUGAUGUAUAUUGUUUUAAAUAUUUUUCUAAUAUAUUUGAGUAAUAUUUAUGUAUGUGUGUAUGUAUAAUAUAUAUAUAUAUUAUAUUAUAUAUAUUUCUUUUAU